rnacentral:rRNA from 1 species
ACGUAGGAGGCAAGCGUUAUCCGGAUUCACUGGGCGUAAAGCGCGUGCAGGCGGUUUGGUAAGUUGGGCGUGAAAUCUCCCGGCUCAACUGGGAGGGGUCGUUCAAAACUACCAGACUCGAGAGUGAUAGAGGAGAAUGGAAUUCCCGGUGUAGUGGUGAAAUGCGUAGAUAUCGGGAGGAACACCAGUGGCGAAAGCGAUUCUCUGGAUCAUUUCUGACGCUCAGACGCGAAAGCUAGGGUAGCAAACGGGAUUAGAGACCCCGGUAGUCCUAGCUGUAAACGAUGUGAACUUGGCGUUGGUGGCUUAAACUCCAUCAGUGCCGAAGCUAACGCGAUAAGUUCACCGCCUGGGGACUACGGCCGCAAGGUUA